CCUGCCCCUAGAGGCACUGCAGGUGUGGCUGCUGUGUCCCAUGUGUGUCAGUAGGUGGCAGAGAGGAAAGAGGCUAUCUCUAUGUUGUUCUGACCUACGGACAACUGAAUGAUUAGUAACCUAACACU